rnacentral:rRNA from 1 species
UGGGGAAUAUUGCACAAUGGGCGCAAGCCUGAUGCAGCCAUGCCGCGUGUAUGAAGAAGGCCUUCGGGUUGUAAAGUACUUUCAGCGGGGAGGAAGGCGAUAAGGUUAAUAACCUUGUCGAUUGACGUUACCCGCAGAAGAAGCACCGGCUAACUCCGUGCCAGCAGCCGCGGUAAUACGGAGGGUGCAAGCGUUAAUCGGAAUUACUGGGCGUAAAGCGCACGCAGGCGGUCUGUCAAGUCGGAUGUGAAAUCCCCGGGCUCAACCUGGGAACUGCAUUCGAAACUGGCAGGCUAGAGUCUUGUAGAGGGGGGUAGAAUUCCAGGUGUAGCGGUGAAAUGCGUAGAGAUCUGGAGGAAUACCGGUGGCGAAGGCGACCCCCUGGACAAAGACUGACGCUCAGGUGCGAAAGCGUGGGGAGCAAACA